CUGGCGGCUUUGCCAUCAAGGAGCCCGAGCCCGGCUCCUCACAGCGUGUCGGGAGGUGCCAGCCGGGUGGAAGGAAAGCGUCUUCCCUGUGAGGACGUGAUCGAAGCAAGCACUUUGAGUGGGGACCUGUCCAAACCUCCAGAUCUUGCUGUGGCUGUUUACAUCUGUUCUGUCAGUCUUCCUUCAAAUCUAUACUUCACUUACCGUCUCUCCUUCUGACUCCCAUCUCUUCACACAAUAGCUCAAAUUAGCGUGGUAUUUUUUUCCCAGUUUUCCCCACUUCUGGAUGAAAUAAAAGGUUUGUUCCUUUGAA